rnacentral:rRNA from 1 species
UUAAGCGACUAAGCGUACACGGUGGAUGCCCUGGCAAUCAGAGGCGAUGAAGGACGUGCUAAUCUGCGAUAAGCGUCGGUGAGGUGAUAUGAACCGUUAUAACCGGCGAUUUCCGAAUGGGGAAACCCAGUGUGAUUCGUCACACUAUCAUUAACUGAAUCCAUAGGUUAAUGAGGCGAACCGGGGGAACUGAAACAUCUAAGUACCCCGAGGAAAAGAAAUCAACCGAGAUUCCCCCAGUAGCGGCGAGCGAACGGGGAGGAGCCCAGAGCCUGAAUCAGUGUGUGUGUUAGUGGAAGCGUCUGGAAAGGCGUGCGAUACAGGGUGACAGCCCCGUACACAAAAAUGCACAUACUGUGAGCUCGAUGAGUAGGGCGGGACACGUGGUAUCCUGUCUGAAUAUGGGGGGACCAUCCUCCAAGGCUAAAUACUCCUGACUGACCGAUAGUGAACCAGUACCGUGAGGGAAAGGCGAAAAGAACCCCGGCGAGGGGAGUGAAAAAGAACCUGAAACCGUGUACGUACAAGCAGUGGGAGCCUCUUAAUGGGGUGACUGCGUACCUUUUGUAUAAUGGGUCAGCGACUUAUAUUCUGUAGCAAGGUUAACCGAAUAGGGGAGCCGAAGGGAAACCGAGUCUUAACUGGGCGUUAAGUUGCAGGGUAUAGACCCGAAACCCGGUGAUCUAGCCAUGGGCAGGUUGAAGGUUGGGUAACACUAACUGGAGGACCGAACCGACUAAUGUUGAAAAAUUAGCGGAUGACUUGUGGCUGGGGGUGAAAGGCCAAUCAAACCGGGAGAUAGCUGGUUCUCCCCGAAAGCUAUUUAGGUAGCGCCUCGUGAAUUCAUCUCCGGGGGUAGAGCACUGUUUCGGCAAGGGGGUCAUCCCGACUUACCAACCCGAUGCAAACUGCGAAUACCGGAGAAUGUUAUCACGGGAGACACACGGCGGGUGCUAACGUCCGUCGUGAAGAGGGAAACAACCCAGACCGCCAGCUAAGGUCCCAAAGUCAUGGUUAAGUGGGAAACGAUGUGGGAAGGCCCAGACAGCCAGGAUGUUGGCUUAGAAGCAGCCAUCAUUUAAAGAAAGCGUAAUAGCUCACUGGUCGAGUCGGCCUGCGCGGAAGAUGUAACGGGGCUAAACCAUGCACCGAAGCUGCGGCAGCGACACUAUGUGUUGUUGGGUAGGGGAGCGUUCUGUAAGCCUGUGAAGGUGUACUGUGAGGUAUGCUGGAGGUAUCAGAAGUGCGAAUGCUGACAUAAGUAACGAUAAAGCGGGUGAAAAGCCCGCUCGCCGGAAGACCAAGGGUUCCUGUCCAACGUUAAUCGGGGCAGGGUGAGUCGACCCCUAAGGCGAGGCCGAAAGGCGUAGUCGAUGGGAAACAGGUUAAUAUUCCUGUACUUGGUGUUACUGCGAAGGGGGGACGGAGAAGGCUAUGUUGGCCGGGCGACGGUUGUCCCGGUUUAAGCGUGUAGGCUGGUUUUCCAGGCAAAUCCGGAAAAUCAAGGCUGAGGCGUGAUGACGAGGCACUACGGUGCUGAAGCAACAAAUGCCCUGCUUCCAGGAAAAGCCUCUAAGCAUCAGGUAACAUCAAAUCGUACCCCAAACCGACACAGGUGGUCAGGUAGAGAAUACCAAGGCGCUUGAGAGAACUCGGGUGAAGGAACUAGGCAAAAUGGUGCCGUAACUUCGGGAGAAGGCACGCUGAUAUGUAGGUGAAGUCCCUCGCGGAUGGAGCUGAAAUCAGUCGAAGAUACCAGCUGGCUGCAACUGUUUAUUAAAAACACAGCACUGUGCAAACACGAAAGUGGACGUAUACGGUGUGACGCCUGCCCGGUGCCGGAAGGUUAAUUGAUGGGGUUAGCGGUAACGCGAAGCUCUUGAUCGAAGCCCCGGUAAACGGCGGCCGUAACUAUAACGGUCCUAAGGUAGCGAAAUUCCUUGUCGGGUAAGUUCCGACCUGCACGAAUGGCGUAAUGAUGGCCAGGCUGUCUCCACCCGAGACUCAGUGAAAUUGAACUCGCUGUGAAGAUGCAGUGUACCCGCGGCAAGACGGAAAGACCCCGUGAACCUUUACUAUAGCUUGACACUGAACAUUGAGCCUUGAUGUGUAGGAUAGGUGGGAGGCUUUGAAGUGUGGACGCCAGUCUGCAUGGAGCCGGCCUUGAAAUACCACCCUUUAAUGUUUGAUGUUCUAACGUUGGCCCCUGACCGGGGUUGCGGACAGUGUCUGGUGGGUAGUUUGACUGGGGCGGUCUCCUCCUAAAGAGUAACGGAGGAGCACGAAGGUUGGCUAAUCCUGGUCGGACAUCAGGAGGUUAGUGCAAUGGCAUAAGCCAGCUUGACUGCGAGCGUGACGGCGCGAGCAGGUGCGAAAGCAGGUCAUAGUGAUCCGGUGGUUCUGAAUGGAAGGGCCAUCGCUCAACGGAUAAAAGGUACUCCGGGGAUAACAGGCUGAUACCGCCCAAGAGUUCAUAUCGACGGCGGUGUUUGGCACCUCGAUGUCGGCUCAUCACAUCCUGGGGCUGAAGUAGGUCCCAAGGGUAUGGCUGUUCGCCAUUUAAAGUGGUACGCGAGCUGGGUUUAGAACGUCGUGAGACAGUUCGGUCCCUAUCUGCCGUGGGCGCUGGAGAACUGAGGGGGGCUGCUCCUAGUACGAGAGGACCGGAGUGGACGCAUCACUGGUGUUCGGGUUGUCAUGCCAAUGGCACUGCCCGGUAGCUAAAUGCGGAAGAGAUAAGUGCUGAAAGCAUCUAAGCACGAAACUUGCCCCGAGAUGAGUUCUCCCUGACUCCUUGAGAGUCCUGAAGGAACGUUGAAGACGACGACGUUGAUAGGCCGGGUGUGUAAGCGCAGCGAUGCGUUGAGCUAACCGGUACUAAUGAACCGUGAGGCUUAACCUU